CGGCUGAGGAGAACGGAAGGAACCUGCCCACCUGAGGGGGAGUACCACCGCGAAAGCGGUGCUAAGACCGCGUACGCUCGGUGUCGGGAGAGGGCACCGAGGAAAACCGGAAGGUGCAGGUGGAGGGGCUUCCGGCCCAUCAGGUAGUUGGUGUGGUAAGAGCGCACCAAGCCGAUGACGGGUCGCUGGUCUGAGAGGAUGACCAGCCAGACUGGGACUGAGACACGGCCCAG
rnacentral:rRNA from 1 species